AUUUUCGGAGUCAGAAAGGACUGUGUAUGAACCCUGCUCUGUCACUCUCCAGCUGUGUCCUCGGCCAAGUCACUGCACCUCUCUGAGCCUUGGUUUCCUCAUCUGUAUGAUGGGCGCAUGCAGCACCUUCAUCAAAAGCCUCGUGUGAAGAUGAACUUAGGUUAUGAGAUAAAUACCUUUGCUGCUCCAUGGACGUUUCCAAAAUAGGCUUGUUUGAAACGGUUCACAGACUCAGAGCAGAAAAGCGAAGUCAAAGCAAAGAAGAGAGGCCAGGGUGCCUACUGUCGCCCAGCCUGGGAACGGCACCGCCCCUCCCCCUCCCGGAUGGCGCUGCGGGGACCGCGGCCCGCGGCCUUGGGCAGGCCAGAGUGGUUCGGGCUGGGCACGCUGUCCACACGACCUGGAGGCUGGGACACGAGAAAUGGAGAUCCAGGAGUCGGAGGCAUGGCUCUCUCUUGCUCUCCUGCUGCAGGAGAGGCCUUCUGAGACCAGGCCCCGGAGGGACGCCGAGGGCGAGGCUCUGCGGCCAGGAGGCCCGCUCCGCUUCCGGGUGCUUGUUAGGCUGUCCUGACCCUCCCCAGCAUCUAAGCACAAUGUCCCCACCGGCCCAGAUGCAGGACAGCGGCCUCACGAGGGCUUCACGUGGGGCCGGUGUGGUCCCCUGGACGAGGCUCUCAGGCCACCAGGAGCAGUGUCUCAGUGUUAAGGCCAAGACAGGGCGCAGACUGGAGAAGGUGCAGAUCCCGGCGGAGGCAGCAGGGCCAGGCCUGCAGGGAGCCGGCAGGGUGCGCAGCAGCCCUGACUCACCGGUUCUUCGAGCUUUGCCGUCUCUCUCUUCCUGCUGGAGGACAAGCUCCGAGGACAGGGACCCGACUCCUCUGUUCACCGUGUUGGGGGGGCCCACAGCGGUGCCUGGCCCGGAGCCCCAACUCCGGAAACCUGCGGGGGUGGGACCACGAGGACCAGUCCCUGACCUGUGAGGCGGGAGUGCGUGGCAUCCAUCCCCUGCGGGGGAAGCAGCCGGUGGGCCCUGGACGCCCAGUUAUGACCCGUUGGUAGGAAUGGGAGGGUCUUGCGUCUGCCCAGGACCCACCUCUGCAGGGACCUUCAGAGGUGUUCUCACUGAGUCUUCACAUCUGUCUGCCUUCUUU
rnacentral:lncRNA from 1 species